GGGUGCAAUCAUAACAAUGUUAAUGCACUGGAUCCCAUCAGAAUUCCCCAGUUAAGCACACUUGGGAUAGAGUUGUACUAGGAUAGGUGACCUCCCAUGAAGUUAUUAUCCA
rnacentral:rRNA from 1 species